GAGUUUGAUCCUGGCUCAGGACGAACGCUGGCGGCGCGCCUAACACAUGCAAGUCGAACGGGACUAUGCGAGAUGAAGUUUUCGGAUGGAAUUUUGUGUAGUUUAGUGGCGGACGGGUGAGUAACACGUGAGCAACCUGCCUUCGAGAGGGGAAUAACGGCUGGAAACGGUCGCUAAUACCGCAUAACAUACGGGAGGGACAUCCCUUUUGUAUCAAAGAUUUAUCGCUCGAAGAUGGGCUCGCGUCCGAUUAGGUAGUUGGUGAGGUAACGGCCCACCAAGCCGACGAUCGGUAGCCGGACUGAGAGGUUGAACGGCCACAUUGGGACUGAGACACGGCCCAGACUCCUACGGGAGGCAGCAGUGGGGGAUAUUGCACAAUGGGGGAAACCCUGAUGCAGCGACGCCGCGUGUAGGAAGACGGUCCUCUGGAUUGUAAACUACUGUCCCCAGGGACGAAGAUGACGGUACCUGGGGAGGA
rnacentral:rRNA from 1 species